GUGCACAUUUCAUUGUCUUUUUUCUUUUUAAAUCAAGAGAAAAGAUAUUUCUGAUGUGCUAAACAAACGUGGAGGUAAAUUAGCAGCAUGACUGUCUUAGCCAUUGCUGUCAGUCACCUUCAGACAAGU
ensembl:snoRNA